rnacentral:rRNA from 1 species
GUCUAUGGCCAUGCUACCCUGAACGAGCCCAAUCCCACUUGAUCUUGGAAGCUGAGCAGGGUCGGGUCUGGUUAGUACUUGGAUUGGAGACCACCUAGGAAGACCAGGUGCUCUAGGCA